UGGGGAAUCUUCCGCAAUGGACGAAAGUCUGACGGAGCAACGCCGCGUGUAUGAUGAAGGUCUUCGGAUUGUAAAGUACUGUCAUUGGGGAAGAACGGUUUUCUUGAAAAGAUUGAGAAGACAUGACGGUACCCAAGGAGGAAGCCCCGGCUAACUACGUGCCAGCAGCCGCGGUAAUACGUAGGGGGCAAGCGUUGUCCGGAAUUAUUGGGCGUAAGGGCGCGUAGGCGGGCCUUAAGUCCGGUGUGAAAGAUCAGGGCUCAACCCUGAGAGUGCAUCGGAAACUGGAGGCCUUGAGGACAGGAGAGGAAAGUGGAAUUCCACGUGUAGCGGUGAAAUGCGUAGAUAUGUGGAGGAACACCAGUGGCGAAGGCGACUUUCUGGACUGUAACUGACGCUGAGGCGCGAAAGCGUGAGGAGCAAACAGGAUUAGAUACCCUGGUAGUCCACGCCGUAAACGAUGAGUGCUAGGUGUAGAGGGUAUCGACCCCUUCUGUGCCGCAGUUAACACAAUAAGCACUCCCGCCUGGGGAGUACGGCCGCAAGGUUGAAACUCAAAGGAAUUGACGGGGUCAUAGCUG
rnacentral:rRNA from 1 species